GAUUAGCCUGUAUUGUAUCAGCUAGUUGGUGAGGUAAUGGCUCACCAAGGCUAUGACGCAUAACUGGUUUGAGAGGAUGAUCAGUCACACUGGAACUGAGACACGGUCCAGACUCCUACGGGAGGCAGCAGUGGGGAAUAUUGCACAAUGGACGAAAGUCUGAUGCAGCAACGCCGCGUGGAGGAUGACACAUUUCGGUGCGUAAACUCCUUUUAUAUAGGAAGAUAAUGACGGUACUAUAUGAAUAAGCACCGGCUAACUCCGUGCCAGCAGCCGCGGUAAUACGGAGGGUGCAAGCGUUACUCGGAAUCACUGGGCGUAAAGAGCGUGUAGGCGGGUGAAUAAGUCAGAAGUGAAAUCCAAUAGCUCAACUAUUGAACUGCUUUUGAAACUGUAUACCUAGAAUGUGGGAGAGGCAGAUGGAAUUUCUGGUGUAGGGGUAAAAUCCGUAGAGAUCAGAAGGAAUACCGAUUGCGAAGGCGAUCUGCUGGAACAUUAUUGACGCUGAGACGCGAAAGCGUGGGGAGGGACGGGAUUAGAUACCAUGGUAGUCCACGCCCUAAA
rnacentral:rRNA from 1 species